rnacentral:tRNA from 1 species
AAGACUUUAAGUUAAAUAAACUAAUAGCCUUCAAAGCUAUAAAUAUAAGUGUACUCUUUAAGCCUUA